GCAUAUCAAUAAGCGGAGGAAAAGAAACCAACAGGGAUUGCCCUAGUAACGGCGAGUGAAGCGGCAACAGCUCAAAUUUGAAAUCCGGCUUCGGCCCGAGUUGUAAUUUGCAGAGGAAGCUUUAGGCGCGGCACCUUCUGAGUCCCCUGGAACGGGGCGCCAUAGAGGGUGAGAGCCCCGUAUAGUUGGAUGCCUAGCCUGUGUAAAGCUCCUUCGACGAGUCGAGUAGUUUGGGAAUGCUGCUCAAAAUGGGAGGUAAAUUUCUUCUAAAGCUAAAUACCGGCCAGAGACCGAUAGCGCACAAGUAGAGUGAUCGAAAGAUGAAAAGCACUUUGAAAAGAGGGUUAAAUAGCACGUGAAAUUGUUGAAAGGGAAGCGCUUGUGACCAGACUUGCGCCGGGCGGAUCAUCCGGUGUUCUCACCGGUGCACUCCGCCCGGCUCAGGCCAGCAUCGGUUCUCGCGGGGGGAUAAAGGUCUCGGGAACGUAGCUCCUCCGGGAGUGUUAUAGCCCGGGGCGUAAUGCCCUCGCGGGGACCGAGGUUCGCGCAUCUGCAAGGAUG
rnacentral:rRNA from 1 species